rnacentral:misc_RNA from 1 species
AACUGGUGGGGUGCGAGCCGUGAGGGGUUCCCGUCUGUAGUGGACGGGGGCCGGGUGCGCAACAGCAAAUGAUUGCCAGACACACUAUUGGGCCCUGAGACAACACUCGGUCCGUCCGUGUGGAGUCCCUCCAUCUUGGUGGUGGGGUGUGGUGUUUGAGUAUUGGAUAGUGGUUGCGAGCAUCUAGAUGAGCGCAUGGUCUUCGUGGCCGGCGUUCAUCGAAAUGUGUAAUUUCUUUUUAACUCUUGUGUGUAAGUAAGUGUCUAA